rnacentral:rRNA from 1 species
AUUGAACGCUGGCGGAAUGCUUUACACAUGCAAGUCGAACGGCAGCACGGACUUCGGUCUGGUGGCGAGUGGCGAACGGGUGGGUAAUGUAUCGGAACGUGCCCAGUCGUGGGGGAUAACGUAGUGAAAAUUACGCUAAUACCGCAUACGAUCUAUGGAUGAAAGCGCGGGAUCGCAAGACCUCGCGCGAUUGGAGCGGCCGAUAUCAGAUUAGGUAGUUGGUGGGGUAAAGGCCCACCAAGCCAACGAUCUGUAGCUGGUCUGAGAGGACGACCAGCCACACUGGAACUGAGACACGGUCCAGACUCCUACGGGAGGCAGCAGUGGGGAAUUUUGGACAAGGGGCGAAAGCCUGAUCCAGCCAUUCCGCGUGCAGGAUGAAGGCCCUCGGGUUGUAAGCUGCUUUUGUACAGAACGAAAAGGUUUCUACUAAUACUAGGAGCUCAUGACGGUACUGUAAGAACAAGCACCGGCUAACUACGUGCCAGCCGCCGCAGUAA